GACGAACGCUGGCGGCGUGCUUAACACAUGCAAGUCGAGCGGUAAGGCCCUUUCGGGGGUACACGAGCGGCGAACGGGUGAGUAACACGUGGGUGACCUGCCCUCAGCUCUGGGAUAAGCCUGGGAAACUGGGUCUAAUACUGGAUAUGACUCCACGGUGCAUGUCGUGGGGUGGAAAGCCUUGUGCGGCUGAGGAUGGGCCCGCGGCCUAUCAGCUUGUUGGUGGGGUGAGGCCUACCAAGGCGACGACGGGUAGCCGGCCUGAGAGGGCGACCGGCCACACUGGGACUGAGACACGGCCCAGACUCCUACGGGAGGCAGCAGUGGGGAAUCUUGCGCAAUGGGCGAAAGCCUGACGCAGCGACGCCGCGUGAGGGAUGACGGCCUCGGUUGUAAC
rnacentral:rRNA from 1 species